GGGUAGGUGGCGGAAUUGGCAUACGCGCAGGGCUUAGGACCCUGUCCCGCAAGGGUUGUGGGUUCAACUCCCACCCUACCCA
rnacentral:tRNA from 1 species